UGAUUGAACUCUGUUAAUUUUCUCAUUUUAUUUUGUUUGCUUGUUAACGUUUUGCUUUUUAAAAAAAAAAAAAAAACCGCCUGUGUUCGUCUUGAGCAAGGUGACCCAAAAAGCCUUGAGUCUUUUUUCGCUCUUUAUAAGACUUUUUUCCCCUUUUUUCCUUUUUCUUCUUUUUUGCCACUUACUCGUGUGAGCAGGGACACCCCGAAAGGGGAAGUGGUGGCCUCCUCUUUAACCGUGCGGUUUGCAGCAACCCCGGGGACCGAUCUGACAAGCAGACCUUUGAUCCUCCAGCUGAUCGGAAGCUUCUGUGACCAAGGCAGAAGUGGCUGUCCGAGUAAAUAGGAAUGAAGGAGGACCUGCAGAACCUCCACCUGCAGUAUCCAGGCAUGAAGUUCAUCUUCUCUGGCAUCACCCAGAGACGCAGAGACAGUUGUUUUUCAGACUUCAGUGUGACCCGCCUCCUCCCCUUUCACCUCGCGGCCUUUAGACGGUGUCUCGAUCUUCUCCCGGCUGUCGGCUCUUGUUCGUCUUCGGCUUUUCCUUGCCACCACCAGUGUUUGGUUUUCAUUGGGGGAUGUGUUUGGUUUUCCUAAACCAAAGAAUUGUAUAGAUACCCCUUUACAAUG